rnacentral:rRNA from 1 species
UGGGGAAUUUUGCACAAUGGGGGAAACCCUGAUGCAGCGACGCCGCGUGAUUUAGAAGGCCUUCGGGUUGUAAAAAUCUUUUGUAUGGGAAGAAAAUGACAGUACCAUACGAAUAAGGACCGGCUAAUUACGUGCCAGCAGCCGCGGUAAUACGUAAGGUCCGAGCGUUGUCCGGAAUCAUUGGGCGUAAAGGGUACGUAGGCGGAUAAGCAAGUUAGAAGUGAAAUCCUAUAGCUCAACUAUAGUAAGCUUUUAAAACUGCUCAUCUUGAUGUAUGGAAGGGAAAGUUGAAUUCCUAGUGUAGCGGUGAAAUGCGCAGAUAUUAGGAGGAAUACCGGUGGCGAAGGCUACUUUCUGGCCAUUUACUGACGCUGAGGUACGAAAGCGUGGGUAGCAAACAGG